rnacentral:rRNA from 1 species
UACGUAGGUGACCAGCGUUGUCCGGAUUUACUGGGCGUAAAGAGCGCGCAGGCGGUCGUUCAAGUCGAGUGUGAAAGCCCCCGGCUCAACUGGGGAGGGUCACUCGAUACUGAUCGACUUGAAGGCAGGAGAGGGAAGCGGAAUUCCCGGUGUAGUGGUGAAAUGCGUAGAUACCGGGAGGAACACCAGUGGCGAAGGCGGCUUCCUGGCCUGUUCUUGACGCUGAGGCGCGAAAGCUAGGGGAGCAAACGGG